CCCAUUGGGGUCCUCCAUAUCCCACCGGGGUCGUCUGUAUUCCAUUGGGGUCCCUGUGUCCCACUGAUGUCCCACAAUCCCAUUAGGGUCCUCCAUGUCCCAUUGGGUGCCUAUGCCCCAUUGGGAUCCCAUUGGGGUCCUCCAUGUCCCAUUGGGGUCCCCAUGUCCCAUUAGGGUCCUCCAUAUCCCACUGGGGUCGUCUGUAUUCCAUUGGGAUCCCCAUGCCCCAUUGAUGUCCCACUGUCCCAUUGGGGACCUCCAUGUCCCAUUGGGGUCCCCAUGUCCCAUUGGGGUCCCAAAGUCCCACUGAUGUCCCUGAGUCCCAUUAGGGUCCUCCAUGUCCCAUUGGGGUCGCCCGUAUUCCACUGGGGUCCCCAUGUCCCAUUAUGGUCCCACUGAUGUCCCGGAGUCCCAUUGGGGUCCCAAUGUCCCACUGGGGUGGGGGUCCCCAUUGGUGGGGGUCCCUAUGGGUGGGGGGUUGGUUUUGAGUUCGGGUUUGCAUUUGGAUCUGAUUUUGGAUUUGGGUUCGGUUUCAGCUUUGGGUUCAGGUUUGGGUUCAGGUUUGGGUUCAGGUUCGGGUUCAGGUUUGGGUUCAGGUUUGGGAUCAGGUUUGGGAUCAGGUUUGGGUUCAGGUGCGGGGAUGGGGUGUGAGUAUAGGGUGCAAGUAAGGGGUGCAGGGUGUGGGUGUGGGGUGUGGGGUGUAGGGUGUGGGUUUGGGUUUGGGUUCAGGUUCAGGUUCGGGUUUGGGUUCAGGUUUGGGUUCAGGUUUGGGUUUGGGUUCGGGUUCAGGUUUGGGUUUGGGUUCAGGUUUGGGUUCAGGUUCAGGUUUGGAUUCAGGUUCAGGUUCGGGUUCAGGUUUGUGUUCAGGUUCAGGUUUGGGUUCAGGUUGGUAUUCAGGUUUGUGUUUGGUUUUGGGUUCAGGUUCGGCUUCAAGUUCCGGUUCCGGUUCGCGUUCAGGUUCAGUUUUGGGUUCAGGUUCAGUUUUGGGUUCAGGUUCAGUUUUGGGUUCAGGUUCAGGUUUGGGUUCAGGUUCGGGUUUGGGUUCAGGUUUGGGUUCAAGUUCUGGUUCAGGUUUGUGUUUCUGUUUGGGUUCAGCUUUGGGUUCAGCUUUGGGUUCAGCUUUGGGUUCGGGUUUGGGUUCAUGUUUGGGAUCAGGUUUGGGAUCAGGUUCGAGUUCAGGUUUGGGUUCAGGUUUGGGUUCAGCUUUGGGCUGAGGUUUGGGUUCAGGUUUGGGUUCGGGUUUGGGUUCAGGUUUGGAUUCAGGUUUGUGUUCAGGUUCGGGUUCAGCUUUGGGUUCGGGUUUGGGUUCAGGUUUGGGUUCGGGUUGAGGUUUGGGUUCAGGAGCGGGGAUGGGUUCGGGUUCAGGUUCAGGUUCUGCUUUGGACUCAGGUUUGGGUUCAGUUUGAGGUUUGGGCUCAGGUUUGAGUUUGGGUUUGGGUUCAAGUUCCGGUUCUGGUUUAGGUUCAGGUUCGGGUUCGGGUUCGGAUUUGGGUUCGGGUUCGGGUUUGGAUUUGGGUUCGAGCGGCACAUUUUGGGCCGGAUUUGUGCGCGGCGCUGCCGAGGCUCCGAUCCGGCCGCAGGNNNNNNNNNNNNNNNNNNNNGCGGAACCCGACCGGUCUGCGGGCCGAACCGAACCGAACCGCACCGAACCGCACCGCGCUCCCAUUGCGGCUCUGCGCGGCACUGCGGGCUCUGCGCACCCCACACCCGCACCCCAUUCCCGCACCCUACACACCCCACACCCACACCCCACACCCCACAUCUGCACCCCGUACCACACACCCACACCCCAUCCCCAUCCCCGCACCCGCACCCUGCACCUGCACCCCAUCCCCNNNNNNNNNNNNN
ensembl:lncRNA